AGACGUGGCUACCCUACUUGCACAGGAGC
rnacentral:piRNA from 1 species